UUGGUUAGAUUAACUUUAACUUGUGAUAAUUUCUAAUGCUGAUUUGCGGUUACAGGCGUAAUAGAUACCCAGAGAGCGAGUGUUGGUGACCAGAGUUUGCCGCCAAAUUGAGAAUACCUCACCGAGGGAAAAUUCACGCCAGUACCCGAAGACUAGGAGUUGCAGCUCACCGUUGGAGUGUAGAUCAAAAUUAUAAAAACUCCAGGUACAAAUAACGAGUCUUAAUUAUUUCUCGGGGCUGCGGCAUCAGCCAGGCAACACGUCGGCUGAAGGUCACCGCCAUUUCGUGCUCAGUCACAAUCAUUUAAUAAUUUAGAUA